UAUUCAAAAACACGACUAUAAAAAAGCCGCAGCAUUUACAAUCAAAGUUAAAGAUGAUUUAUAAAGGUAUAUAUUUAAAUAUGUCUCAUCAUGAUGUCGAGGCUAGCUCAAUCCAAGAUGGCGGCGCCCAUGGCAGAGUCUUUACAUUGUCUUAAUGGCUAAAGAACUCGUGAAAUUUGACAUCCCGCUGAAUAGGAGGAAAAGAGCUAGUAUUUUUUCGAAAUGCAUCAUCUGCCAAGUCGAUCGUAGAGAUGAGAAGCUAAGAAACGUAAAGAAGGCAUCCGUUGAAACAUUUAAAAA